rnacentral:rRNA from 1 species
UCAAGAAACUUCCACAAUGGGCGAAAGCCUGAUGGAGCGACGUCGCGUGAUGGACGAAGUGCUUCGGCACGUAAACAUCUUUUAUGUGGGACGAAAUUAUUGACGGUACCACAUGAAUAAGGGGCUCCUAACUCUGUGCCAGCAGGAGCGGUAAUACAGAGGCCCCAAGCGUUAUCCGGAAUCACUGGGCGUAAAGGGUGUCGAGGCGGUCAUGUUAGUCGUUCGUAAAAUCCGUGGGCUCAACCUACGGCCGGCGAGCGAAACGGCAUGACUUGAGGUUGGGAGAGGUGCAUGGAACUCACGGUGUAGGGGUGAAAUCCGUUGAUAUCGUGGGGAACACCAAAGGCGAAGGCAGUGCACUGGCCCAAAUCUGACGCUCACACACGAAAGCUAGGGUAGCGAACGGGAUUAGAUACCCAUGUAGUCCCUGAGCGGGCUGGCAAGGCGCAU